rnacentral:rRNA from 1 species
CCCCUACGCUGCCAGUUGCAACGGGUGAAGCCGGGCACUCUGGCGGGACUGCCAUCGACAAGAUGGAGGAAGGUGGGGAGUGACGUCAAGUCAUCAUGGCCCUUAUGUCCAGGGCGACACACGUGCUACAAUGGCCGGCACAGCGGGAAGCGAGGCAGUGAUGCCAAGCGGAUCCCUUAAAGCCGGUCUCAGUUCGGAUUGAAGUCUGCAACUCGACUUCAUGAAGCUGGAAUCACUAGUAAUCGCAGAUCAGCCAAGCUGCGGUGAAUACGUUCCCGGGCCUU